GCGGUGGCCUCUGAGCCGGGGACCUGAAGAACGGCUCCUCUGUUUGUAACUCACCCAACAGGAAUCCGGGGUCAUUGUGAUGAGAGGCACACAAAAUCUGUGGCCGCCCUGUGAACAAAUUCCCUGCACAU
ensembl:snoRNA